rnacentral:rRNA from 1 species
GACGUAGGGCGCGAGCGUUGUCCGGAUUUAUUGGGCGUAAAGAGCUCGUAGGCGGCUUGUUGCGUCGACCGUGAAAACCCGGGGCUCAACUUCGGGCUUGCGGUCGAUACGGGCGGGCUAGAGUUCGGUAGGGGAGACUGGAAUUCCUGGUGUAGCGGUGAAAUGCGCAGAUAUCAGGAGGAACACCGAUGGCGAAGGCAGGUCUCUGGGCCAUAACUGACGCUGAGAAGCGAAAGCAUGGGGAGCGAACAGG